rnacentral:rRNA from 1 species
GUUUUUCGCUUGAGGAUGAGCCCAUGCGGGAUUAGCUAGUUGGUGGGGUAAUGGCCUACCAAGGCGACGAUCCCUAACUGGUCUUAGAGGAUGAUCAGUCACACUGGAACUGAGACACGGUCCAGACUCCUACGGGAGGCAGCAGUAGGGAAUAUUGCACAAUGGACGAAAGUCUGAUGCAGCGACGCCGCGUGAGUGAUGAAGGCCUUCGGGUCGUAAAGCUCUGUCGUAUGGGACUAACACAAUG